AUACGGAGGGUGCGAGCGUUAAUCGGAAUUACUGGGCGUAAAGCGCGCGUAGGCGGCUAAGUAAGUCGGAUGUGAAAGCCCUGGGCUCAACCUGGGAAUUGCAUUCGAUACUGCUUGGCUAGAGUAUGGUAGAGGGUAGUGGAAUUUCCGGUGUAGCGGUGAAAUGCGUAGAUAUCGGAAGGAACACCAGUGGCGAAGGCGACUUCCUGGGCCAAUACUGACACUGAGGUGCGAAAGCGUGGGGAGCAAACAGGAUUAGAAACCCCAGUAGUCC
rnacentral:rRNA from 1 species